rnacentral:rRNA from 1 species
GACGACCAGCCACACUGGGACUGAGACACGGCCCAGACUCCUACGGGAGGCAGCAGUGGGGAAUUUUGGACAAUGGGGGCAACCCUGAUCCAGCCAUGCCGCGUGCAGGAUGAAGGCCUUCGGGUUGUAAACUGCUUUUGUCAGGGACGAAAAGGACCGUGUUAAUACCAUGGUCUGCUGACGGUACCUGAAGAAUAAGCACCGGCUAACUACGUGCCAGCAGCCGCGGUAAUACGUAGGGUGCAAGCGUUAAUCGGAAUUACUGGGCGUAAAGCGUGCGCAGGCGGUUCUGUAAGACAGAUGUGAAAUCCCCGGGCUCAACCUGGGAAUUGCAUUUGUGACUGCAGGACUAGAGUUCAUCAGAGGGGGGUGGAAUUCCAAGUGUAGCAGUGAA